GCCUUCGUGGUGUAGUGGUCAGCACGCUUGACGCGUAACCGAAAGGUCCGUGGUUCGAUUCCCGGCGAAGGCG
rnacentral:tRNA from 1 species